ensembl:snoRNA
AAGGUGUCUCUCUCAGGAAAGUAGCAACUCAGAAGAAAACCUGGCUUACCUAAGGUCUUUGGGAGACAGAGGAUACUUAACUUCUUUUGCUUCCCUUUGGCUGCAAACAUGC